UGGUUGAUGUUCAGUAAGGAUGUUACAAGU
rnacentral:piRNA from 1 species